CAGUGAGUAGCCUGCCAGGAGGAAACAGAGAUCCAUCAGGGAAGGAGAAGAUAAUUCUUCCCGGGCAAGAAAGAUAGGAUGCACAAGCUGCUUGCCUGGUGUGCAACCCACUCUAGUGCUUUCACAAACCUCCUGGCAUUAGAGACGCAGCAGGACUGCGCAGAACAGCAGAUGCCAGAGCGAUUCUGUUGACGUGGCCGUCUCAGCUCCCAGAGAAGACAACGUGGUGAAACCUAACAGACUGACAGGCAUCGAAGUUGACCCGCAGCAGAGAGAGCACUGGGCAUUUGCGGCAACUGGUACAGGAGGCCGUUGUCCACGGAUCUUCCACUGGUCCUUGAAGAAGAGUUAUCCUGAGGUAAAAAACAAAAUUACAGCAGCAGCCAAAAAUGGAGUCACAUCCUGAGACACUUUCUU
rnacentral:lncRNA from 12 species